GAUGAACGCUAGCUACAGGCUUAACACAUGCAAGUCGAGGGGCAGCAGGGAUUUAGCUUGCUAAAUCCGCUGGCGACCGGCGCACGGGUGCGUAACGCGUAUCCAACUUUCCCGUUACUCAGGGAUAGCCUUCCGAAAGGGAGAUUAAUACCUGAUGGUGUUUGAAAUUCGCAUGUUCUUCAAACUAAAGAUUUAUCGGUAACGGAUAGGGAUGCGUGACAUUAGAUAGUAGGCGGGGUAACGGCCCACCUAGUCUACGAUGUCUAGGGGUUCUGAGAGGAAGGUCCCCCACACUGGAACUGAGACACGGUCCAGACUCCUACGGGAGGCAGCAGUGAGGAAUAUUGGUCAAUGGUCGGAAGACUGAACCAGCCAAGUAAGCGUGAAGGAAUGAAGGUUCUAU
rnacentral:rRNA from 1 species